rnacentral:rRNA from 1 species
UACGUAGGUGACGAGCGUUAUCCGGAAUUAUUGGGCGUAAAGCGCCCGCAGGCGGCUGUUCAAGUCUGACGUGAAAUCGCUCGGCUUAACUGGGCGGGGUCGUUGGAAACUGAAUAGCUUGAGGCAAGGAGAGGGGCGUGGAAUUCCCGGUGUAGCGGUGAAAUGCGUAGAUAUCAGGAGGAACACCUGUGGCGAAAGCGGCUCACUGGACCAUAACUGACGCUGAUGCACGAAAGCUAGGGGAGCAAACAGG